GUGCUCACUUCAGCUGCAUAUAUACUAAAAUUGGAAUAAUACAGAGAAGAUUCGCAUGGCCCCUGUGCAAGGAUGACAUAUUAAUUUGUGAAGCAUUCUGUAUUUUU
ensembl:snRNA U6 U6 spliceosomal RNA